CCUACGGGAGGCUGCAGUGAGGAAUAUUGGUCAAUGGACGCAAGUCUGAACCAGCCAUGCCGCGUGCAGGAAGACGGCUCUAUGAGUUGUAAACUGCUUUUGUACGAGGGUAAACGCAGAUACGCGUAUCUGUCUGAAAGUAUCGUACGAAUAAGGAUCGGCUAACUCCGUGCCAGCAGCCGCGGUAAUACGGAGGAUUCAAGCGUUAUCCGGAUUUAUUGGGUUUAAAGGGUGCGUAGGCGGUCGGAUAAGUUAGAGGUGAAAUCCCGAGGCUCAACUUCGGAAUUGCCUCUGAUACUGUUCGGCUAGAGAGUAGUUGCGGUAUGCGGAAUGUAUGGUGUAGCGGUGAAAUGCUUAGAGAUCAUACAGAACACCGAUUGCGAAGGCAGCUUACCAGGCUACUUCUGACGUUGAGGCACGAAAGCGUGGGGAGCGAACAGGAUUAGAUACCCUAGUAGUC
rnacentral:rRNA from 1 species